CCACGCCACGUCUGUCCACGCCACGUCUGUCCACGCCACGCCUGUCCACGCCACGUCUGUCCACGCCACGUCUGGAGACGCAGACGCUGAACUUAUCCACAAAAAUGUUUCAUCUUCUACUUUAUGAACAUUCAAUUAUGGAGUUUAGGCCGAAGAAAGAAAAAGGAAUCAUUUAUAAUAGAAAUAAAAUGAUCUGUUUAUAGACGUUAUCCAUCUGUAUCACUUUAAAAUGUGAACUCAAAUAUCUAAAAACAUAUUGAUAUUUUUAGAUCAAAAAUAAAUAUACAUAACUUGGAUUGUUUGAAUAAUUCAAAAAUGUUUUUUGUGAUUGUUAUUUCUAUUUUAAAUGAACUUUUGUGCUGGAAUCUUUAUUUUAGACAAACGGUCGUUUCAGAAGCACAGACUUCUUAGACUCCCAUCUUCUUUAAAAGUGUUCAAACUCAAAGCUCCAUCCCGUUUUUUUCUUCUUCACCUUCCUGUCUUGAAAGCGGAGGUUCGAUUCCCACAGCGGCGGCCUCAGAGCGGCCAGACGCUGCAGAGCGGGAGCGGGAAGAGGAAUCGCCGGAGAGCCUGAGAGGCCAUAAAGCACGCAGCCCGGCCGGCCGUUUAAUGUCUCCACAGCCCCGGGCCCGUCUUAAUGGCGGUGUCGUACAGCACAUUACCGCCGCGCUCGCGCCCGAGCAGACCAUUACGCCGGUAUUUAGUCUACAAACGCCGGGGGCCACGGAGCACUUAGCAGCCCGACGAGAGCGACCUGACAGGAAACGGUGUAAUCACAGAGCAGACGGAGGGUUCUCAUCCGAGGACGGCCUUAGUCCCACUUCACCACGGCCAGCGGAGCAGGUGUGGCAUUCAGGUGGGAUCAGGACCUGCACCUGAGGGACGGGAGACACCUGCUUGCUCAGAGAGGGGGGGUCCGCCUUGUCCGACCUGUCAGUGGACUGCAGCCCUUUUUAGAGCUCCUGUUUGAGGAUGAGGGUAAAGUUCAUCUUCAUCCUCUUCAUCUGCAGCUGCUUUAAACUUUGUUUACUGAAUGUGGUGCAGGAACCAUUAGAAAAAGAUCAGAACCAGAUUAAGAAAACGAUGCAAAACUAUAUUUCAUGAAUCAAAUGUGAAUAAAGUGCGUCUUUGCUUUUGUUAGUUUUAUUUUAAAUUGAAGCAUUUCAUUGUUUCUGUGAUGAGUUUGAUAAAUCGGUCAUUUUUUCUGGUAUCGUCUACAAAUAAUGCUUAAAAUAAACCAAUUGAAUCAAUCAAUAUAGAUUUUCCCCAAACCCAUAACCGUCAGGGUCGAAGAUAAAAAAUCCAAAGCCAACUUCAGUUUCCUCUGAUGUUUCAGGAUAAACAGCAGAUAGAAACAGACCAAAAAAAGAUGGUUCUAAUUCUGGUAUUUAUAAAUAUAGUCAGAAAUGUGAAUCCACAACUUUAUUAACAGCAUCCUUGUAACAUCAGACAAAAAGGUGUUGAAUAUUGUAUUCUGGUCUGUCACAAUAAAUCCACAUUUUGUUUAUAAAAUGCAGCCGUCUUUUAUUUUGAAGGGGAAGGCUCUUUCUGCCAAAAGAAACUUUUCAAAUGUGUUUGUUUGUUGGUAACUUGGAGGUUUCCGUUCAGCGGUUGGAGCAGCCGUUUUUAGAAAAUAGCAGAUGGAUUUUCCAAACAGAGUCACUUCUUUCAUUUCUGUUGGGAUUCUGACUAAAUAGGUCUGCUUUUCUUAGAAGCAACUUUUCCAUGGACCGGUACCGGUCUGCAAUGUGUAGUAAAAUAUUAGCGUUUCCAACAUUAACUGCACUUUCUCCUCCAGAACUGAAAUGUUAUCAGAGUUUUUAGAUCCUUCCUUCAACAUCUGCAACUGAAUCAACUGGAAAUGCAAAAGACAAAAAACCUUCAACCCCGAAAUCGAACCAUCAGCUUGAGGUACGUGUGGCCCCCUGAAACGUCUCAUUGAGGAACCGACCCAGAAUCCAGAAGCUUCUGCUGUCCUCCUGAGAUCUCCACGCCUCACGCUGGAGCAGGAGGACCUGCAGCCCGUCCUCAUCCAGGUGAUGGAUCGGCACUCAGCACAUCCACUCAUCUGCCCGCACUGAUGACAUCAUGCUGACAUCAUCACGCACUCUGACAGAAACGGCCGAUGUGUCCAUCUGGGACUUUUAAAGCUGAAAAAAGAAAUGGAUGAGCAGCUUCUGCCUUUUUGGCUGCUGGAACGCCCCCCGGAGAACGGCCCCCAGAGAACGGCCCCCAGAGAACGGACCCCAGAGAACGGCCCCCAGAGAACGGCCCCCAGAGAACGGCCCCCAGAGAACGUCUCCCAGAGAACGGACCCCAGAGAACGGACCCCAGAGAACGGCCCCCAGAGAACGGCCCCCAGAGAACGUCUCCCAGAGAACAUCCCCCGGAGAACGGUCCCCAGAGAACGUCCCCUGGAGAACGGCCCCCAGAGAACGUCCCCCGGAGAACGGCCCCCAGAGAACAGACCCCCGGAGAACGGCCCCCAGAGAACAGACCCCCGGAGAACGGCCCCCAGAGAACAGACCCCCGGAGAACGGCCCCCAGAGAACAGACCCCCAGAGAACGUCUCCAAACACUGAAAAAUUCAAAUUCUGUGUGAUUGAAGGAAAAAAGCGGGAAACACAGAAGCCACGGGUGGAGUUUGUUUCUCAGGUGUGGGGGCCUGAGAGGAAACCUGACAUGGGACCACCCGCCGACAGCAUUGUCAUCAUGUAAUGGAGCGUGUCAACUCACAGCAGGGGCGUGGGGGGGUCUGACGAGGGACCCUCACAGGGAAGGAACAGGUGAAAGUCAUAAACAAACAGAUGGGGGGGGGUGUUUCUGAUGCAGGCGGUGUCAGAGGGAACCAAGAGUUUGAUCAUAUUUCUAACAUUGAGAGGAAAAACAUCUGUUUGGGGCUUUUAGCAUCAAUACACGGAUUUCUGUUGACCAAUCAGUUGUGUUGUUGUCGUGACAACCGGACUUAACCCUGAAGAACCAAUGGAGUCAAUAUUGGGCAAUAUUGCUUUUUCUAAAAAAAGUCUUAUUUUCGUCAUUUUUUUUAAAAGUUUGAUUGUUUCUUUUUUUCACUGUGACUUUGUGUGUGUGUGUGUGUGUGCUUUUCCUGUGAAUUGUUGGAACCCAAACUGAACGACCAAAACAGAAAUGUCAAGAUGACUGGGAAGGAAAUGGUUCUUGGGUUCUGCAGGGUUUAGAGCUGGCAGAGGAGCGUCCGUGAGGUGGGGGGGGCUGUUCCACGCCUGCUUCCUACAGAGGAUGAGUCAGCAUUUCCUCCACCGUCAGGGACGUGUGCCGUCGCUUUCACUCUUUAGGGUGACGGACGCCACGCCGGCUGGGAUUUGGUUCAGUGACAGCUCAGCACCGACCGACACAGAACUGCUGUCCGUCUGACUGCACUACCGCCUCGUGCUUCACAUGUUUCUGCUACAUAAAAACACACCUUUGGAUGAAAACCUGUGUUUUCAUACAUUUUACAUCUGUGGAAUAAAAGCAUCUAAUGAGG